rnacentral:tRNA from 1 species
GGAGAGAUGGCUGAGCGGUCUAUGGCGGCGGUCUUGAAAACCGUUGAAGGGUCAAACCUUCCUAGGGUUCGAAUCCCUAUCUCUCCGCAA